ACGACCAUUAUCACAUUGAAACACCAGUUCUAAUGUGAACACUGAUGUUAAGCAACAUUGUGCCUGGUCAGUAACUAAAUGGGUGACCAAUUGGGAAUACCAAGUACUGUAAG